rnacentral:rRNA from 1 species
GGCUCAGGAUGAACGCUAGCUACAGGCUUAACACAUGCAAGUCGAGGGGCAGCAUUUUAGUUUGCUUGCAAACUGAAGAUGGCGACCGGCGCACGGGUGAGUAACACGUAUCCAACCUGCCGAUAACUCCGGAAUAGCCUUUCGAAAGAAAGAUUAAUACCGGAUAGCAUACGAAUAUCGCAUGAUAUUUUUAUUGAAGAAUUUCGGUUAUCGAUGGGGAUGCGUUCCAUUAGUUUGUUGGCGGGGUAACGGCCCACCAAGACUACGAUGGAUAGGGGUUCUGAGAGGAAGGUCCCCCACAUUGGAACUGAGACACGGUCCAAACUCCUACGGGAGGCAGCAGUGAGGAAUAUAGGUCAAUGGGCGAGAGCCUGAACCAGCCAAGUAGCGUGAAGGAUGAAGGCUCUAUGGGUCGUAAACUUCUUUUAUAUGGGAAUAAAGUUUUCCACGUGUGGAAUUUUGUAUGUACCAUAUGAAUAAGGAUCGGCUAACUCCGUGCCAGCAGCCGCGGUAAUACGGAGGAUCCGAGCGUUAUCCGGAUUUAUUGGGUUUAAAGGGAGCGUAGGUGGAUUGUUAAGUCAGUUGUGAAAGUUUGCGGCUCAACCGUAAAAUUGCAGUUGAAACUGGCAGUCUUGAGUACAGUAGAGGUGGGCGGAAUUCGUGGUGUAGCGGUGAAAUGCUUAGAUAUCACGAAGAACUCCGAUUGCGAAGGCAGCUCACUAGACUGUCACUGACACUGAUGCUCGAAAGUGUGGGUAUCAAACAGGAUUAGAUACCCUGGUAGUCCACACAGUAAACGAUGAAUACUCGCUGUUUGCGAUAUACAGUAAGCGGCCAAGCGAAAGCAUUAAGUAUUCCACCUGGGGAGUACGCCGGCAACGGUGAAACUCAAAGGAAUUGACGGGGGCCCGCACAAGCGGAGGAACAUGUGGUUUAAUUCGAUGAUACGCGAGGAACCUUACCCGGGCUUAAAUUGCAACAGAAUAUAUUGGAAACAGUAUAGCCGUAAGGCUGUUGUGAAGGUGCUGCAUGGUUGUCGUCAGCUCGUGCCGUGAGGUGUCGGCUUAAGUGCCAUAACGAGCGCAACCCUUAUCUUUAGUUACUAACAGGUUAUGCUGAGGACUCUAGAGAGACUGCCGUCGUAAGAUGUGAGGAAGGUGGGGAUGACGUCAAAUCAGCACGGCCCUUACGUCCGGGGCUACACACGUGUUACAAUGGGGGGUACAGAAGGCCGCUACCUGGUGACAGGAUGCCAAUCCCAAAAACCUCUCUCAGUUCGGAUCGAAGUCUGCAACCUGACUUCGUGAAGCUGGAUUCGCUAGUAAUCGCGCAUCAGCCAUGGCGCGGUGAAUACGUUCCCGGGCCUUGUACACACCGCCCGUCAAGCCAUGAAAGCCGGGGGUACCUGAAGUACGUAACCGCAAGGAGCGUCCUAGGGUAAAACUGGU